CUGCCGUGAUGACUGUUAGGACACCUUUGGAUUUAUCGUGAAAACACCAGUUUGCUCUGAGCAGU